rnacentral:tRNA from 1 species
GCGGGUGUAGCAAAAAAGUGCAUUGGAGUUAGGGUCCAAAAGAUGGGGUUUAAGGCCCCCACUCGUU